GACGAACGCUGGCGGCGCGCUUAACACAUGCAAGUCGAGCGAGAACCGGCCUUCGGGCCGGGGAAAGCGGCGAACGGGUGAGUAACACGUGGGUAAUCUGCCCUCGGCACCGGGAUAGCCCGGGGAAACCCGGAUUAAUACCGGAUGGCCCUUUGAGUCCUCGGAUUCAAAGGAAAAGGUAGCUUCGGCCUCCGGCCGAGGAUGAGCCCGCGGCGGAUUAGCUUGUUGGUUGGGUAACGGCCUACCAAGGCGACGAUCCGUAGCUGGUCUGGGAGGACGAUCAGCCACACUGGGACUGAGACACGGCCCAGACUCCUACGGGAGGCAGCAGUGGGGAAUCUUGCGCAAUGGGCGAAAGCCUGAUGCAGCGACGCCGCGUGAGGGAAGAAGGCCUUCGGGUUGUAAACCUCUUUCAGGAGGGACGAAGCCACUCGGGUUAAUAGCCCAGAGGGUGACGGUACCUCCAGAAGAAGCCCCGGCUAUCUACGUGCCAGCAGCCGCAGUAACAC
rnacentral:rRNA from 1 species